CUCACCUGCCCUGGCCUUCAGGGGUCUUUCAGUUCCCAGCUUUGAUCCUUAACAAAGUCUGUGUGGGUCUCUGUCAGUUCUGUUUCCGUGAGGAUCUUCCGUGGCUUUCUUGUCCACGAGCUCGUGGCCCCGGCAUGUCCGCUCAGUCUUUCGUGCACUCCUGCGUCCAUCCAUCCGCUCACUCAUUAUCACGUUAAUCGCUGACCAGCCAGAAGCUCCCACCGAUGACCUCACCCCGCUGCUCUAGCGUAUCCCGGAUGUGGCCUUGGGGGAGUGCCGGGGGGGAGGUGUCCCAUCCCGAGGCCCAGCGCUGUGCCAUAUCACAGCCUCCAUGUUUUUCACAGAGCAACCCAAGCCCACCUCAGGAUCCCACAGGGCACCGACAGUGACCCCCCCCCAGCAAACACCUGGCCCUCUGCGGGCGUCUUCAGCCGGGUGCCUGUACCAGCACAGGGCUCUCUGGACCCUGGAGACCUAAAGGCAACAGCAGACACAGGAGCACAUGGGACAGAGCGUGGCCUUCGCCUCAGGAAGGGCUGUGAGGAAGCCACUCCAGACCAGAGGGGCUGGCCUGGCUCUCUCAGGCCUACCAUCGCCGUGGGCUCAGAAGUGGCAAGAGCCAGGCCCAGACUGGGUAUCCAGGCCCCAACUUCAUUAGGUGAGGACAUGGCCAGGACCCCUUGAGGAGACUCAGGGCCCUCAGAGCACAGGAAAGCAAGGGCUGAAGAAGGCAGGCAUCUCCUCAGAAGCUUCCAUCCAUGCUGGGCCAUCUGCAUCCAGGCCUUGUGGGUCACCGGAAGGGAGCAGAGGGCUCUGACUGCCGUACUGCAGUACACAGCUGUAAAUCUUUAAAUGCCUGUGAUCAGAUGGGGACAGCAGCAGGCAGGCAAGAAGUUUUCAGAAGGCAGCACCUGGCCCUGAGUGCCGUCCAUUGCUGCCACGUGGAGCUGCAGGGCCAAUUACCCCGUUCUUCAAGAGGAGAUGGACGGGGGAGCUCUGAAGGUGACUUUCCACUGGGCACCUGCAGCACAUCUGCCCAGAGCUGAGGACAGAGCCCCAGUGAGCUGCCAAGACUGGGCAGGGAGAAAGCAAUGAGGAAACCAGGUUAAGUGACUUCACAGAAAUGACCUAUCCAGCUGCCAGCCGCAAGAGCAGCAGAGGGGCAGGCGAGGGUAAGGCACGGGGUCCCGGGGCCUCUUAACUGUCUAUCCCUGGAUGAACCAAGAGUGACCCAGACAGGUAGCGUGACUUGUGCUCCUAAAAGGCUGGAGAAAGGAGUCUCGCCACCAAGUGAGGUUCCAUCAGCUCUGCCAUCUUCUCCGGGGAGCAAAUUGUCAAAGAUUCAGGUUAAUUCCAGUGGUGCCAGCCCCAGAUCUCUUUGCUGGUUUCAGGUGGGGAUUAGGUGGAUAAACAGCUCCCACCUGAAGAGGAAGGCAAUGGUGUCUGCAUUCUGCAGAUGAAAGAUUUCCAGAUAGGCCCCCUCCUUGUGACUGCCAUGUUCCAUUAGGUAAAGCAAGUUUAAACCAUUCCGAGGCCUCAGAUUGUGAAUCGUUGCCACAGUUUCAGAGCAAGACAAGGCUGUUUUUCUUGUUUGUUCCUUUUUCCUCUUACACAGAGUCAACCAUUUGACACCUCACCUACCUGCUCUCAGGAUGGGUCUCAACCCCUCCUGGACUCAAGUAGCUUGCUACUGGCCUCAUUCAAGAAGGGCAGAGAUGCAGGCCUUUACUUGGUCAGCUUUUCUCACCAAGACUAGCUAAGGACUUCCUUGAGGUCUCACUGUUGUAUUCCCCAGGGGUGCAUACAAAGCCCUCAUCCUGGAGAUGUUUGAUGAUGGGUGGAUGGAUGGGUGGGUAAGUGGAUGAUGCUCUAAGAGGAAGAAAGGAAGGAAGGAUGGAUGGAUGGGAGAAAGAAGGGAGUAAGAGAAAUGGAUGGUGGAAGGAAGGAGGAAAAAUGAGAGGAACGAUGGGUGAGUGCAUGGACUGGUAGAUAGGACAUUUACAGACGUAAGGGUGACAUUAAAGCACCAAAUUGCAGUGUGCAAAUUCUUCACCUGCAUAAUAAAAGUAGCACUAAUAGCCAUGAGUUGGGGAUGAAUACACCUCCGCUGAACAAAUGAGAAGCCGAGGCUGGCAGAUGAAGCCAAGUUCCCAAAGAGACUGGCCCUGGAUCCCACAUCCUCACCCAUCCAUGGGCCAAUGAAUCCCUGUCCCACAAAGCCCAAGUCUAUUCCAGGAGUCAGACGGGCACUGAAGACAUAAGGGCAGGGCUACUUCAUCCACUAGCUACUGCUGGGUCUCAUUACACAGGAGCAGAGAGAGGGUAGAAGAACAGACUUCAUGCGCCAGGGGUGGAGAGGACCAGGAUGACUCCUGGAUUCAUGGUGAUUAUUGACUUUGCUUUGAUUGGCUCAGCAUUGUUGAGAUAGCUGGGAACAGUGUCCCGGGCCAGUGAGUUCAUCAAGACCACGGCCUCUUGCAAGGGCAUCCUCUGGUGAGGAAUUCCCAUAAAAGAGGCCAUAGCAAUUCUGCGGCUGCUCUUGUUUGAGUCCCUUUGAUCACGUCUUCAGGAGCCGGGCAAACUUCUGGGUGGCCACUGAGGGCAGGCCCUUGGCUUCCCUGGUAUGUUAAACAGCUUGCCUGCUAAUGGGCCUGUGUGGCCUGAGACCCAUCCCACGGAGAGGAGCAGAUCGUGCCGCGGUGAACCUGAUGCGCAGCUGGGCCGCCUGUGUGGACAGUGACAGUGGCCUAGGGCCCAGAGCAGGCUCCACUAAACUCUCACCUCAGCAUUUCUGCCCUUUGGCUUCUUCCAUACUUGUUUAGGAUAUAAACCAAUCCCUGGAAAAGAUGUGAGGCCUUUCUGGAUUGCAUUCUUAAGGUCUGCUUGGAAAAACCCAGGGCUCAAAUAGGAAGCAGGACCUGGGGCCGU
ensembl:lincRNA